rnacentral:tRNA from 1 species
GCCGAUGUGGCGGAACUGGCAGACGCGCUAGACUCAAAAUCUGGUUCUCGAAAGGGAGUGGGGGUUCAAGUCCCUCCAUCGGCACCA